GAAUGGGUCAAAAUUUACAGAAAACUCUCUUGGACCAAAUUCUGAAGUAUAUUGUGAAACAGGUGUUGUUUGCCAUCUUAUAGUGGAGACUUCUCAACAGGGAGGGGUGUGUCCAAACAUUAAAAAUACCAACCCCAGUGUUCAAGGAGACAAAAUAUCAGACGUUUAUGUGUUUGAUCCAAAAGAGUCAACUGCUAAUUCUAAAAUAAAGUGUACAACAGAUGUAGCUAUUAAACCCAGUACAACAGAGGCUGGAAGGAAAGAAGUCUGUGUCACAAUUGAGAAAAGUUCAAGAAGUCAAAGUGAUACAAGAUGUUACAAAGUAAUUGUUAAAAGAGGUGAUGCUUGCAAGCCAGUGGAAUGUUUAAAUGGAGGUAUUUGUAAGAGUGUUGACAACUAUGAAGGGAUAGCAGUCUGUGUUUGUCCCUUAGGCUACUCAGGGAACAGAUGUCAGAACAAAAAAGACAAUUCAGUGACACCAUUCACAGAGGAAGAAAUUCCA